GGAAGUAAAAGUCGUAACAAGGUUUCCGUAGGUGAACCUGCGGAAGGAUCAUUAUUAUUUGGGUAGGGUUUACUUCUAAGAUCUGUUCAGUCCCGUCCUAGUAUUUAAGAAGUAAACUUUUACCAAAUAACCUAUAUUUUUCCUAUAGGAGCGAUAAACUUAUAUUUAAAACCAACACUUUGAAUGUAUAUUUUUUGUAUUUUUAAAUGAUAAUUAAUAAAAGAUCACUUUCAACAACGGAUCUCUUGGCUCUCGCAUCGAUGAAGAACGUAGCGAAGUGCGAUAAGUAAUGUGAAUUGCAGAAUUCCGUGAAUCAUCGAAUCUUUGAACGCAAAUUGCACUCUCUGGUAUUCCGGAGAGUAUGCCUGUUUGAGGGUCAGUUAAAUAAAAAUCGGUGUUGUUGCUGCCUUUCGUGGUGACGCGUCGGAAUUGAGUUGUCUUACCUUCGGUUAAGUGACUUAAAAUUUUGUAUGAUUUUCGAACGUAUUUAAAUUUAUUUGUACGUUUGAGAUAUCGAAUGUUUAUUAGGUUCGGUCAUUCUAAUGACUCGCGCCUAUAGUUUUUCAUUAAAUGACCUCAAAUCAGGUAAGAAUACCCGCUGAACUUAAGCAUAUCAAUAAGCGGAGGA
rnacentral:rRNA from 1 species